rnacentral:rRNA from 1 species
AUUGAACGCUGGCGGCAGGCCUAACACAUGCAAGUCGAGCGGCAGCGGGAAAGUAGCUUGCUACUUUUGCCGGCGAGCGGCGGACGGGUGAGUAAUGCCUGGGAAAUUGCCCAGUCGAGGGGGAUAACAGUUGGAAACGACUGCUAAUACCGCAUACGCCCUACGGGGGAAAGCAGGGGACCUUCGGGCCUUGCGCGAUUGGAUAUGCCCAGGUGGGAUUAGCUAGUUGGUGAGGUAAUGGCUCACCAAGGCGACGAUCCCUAGCUGGUCUGGGAGGAUGAUCAGCCACACUGGAACUGAGACACGGUCCAGACUCCUACGGGAGGCAGCAGUGGGGAAUAUUGCACAAUGGGGGAAACCCUGAUGCAGCCAUGCCGCGUGUGUGAAGAAGGCCUUCGGGUUGUAAAGCACUUUCAGCGAGGAGGAAAGGUUGAUGCCUAAUACGUAUCAACUGUGACGUUACUCGCAGAAGAAGCACCGGCUAACUCCGUGCCAGCCGCCGCGGUAAUAC